rnacentral:rRNA from 1 species
GACGUAGGGGGCGAGCGUUGUCCGGAUUCAUUGGGCGUAAAGCGCGUGUAGGCGGUCCGGUAAGUCGGCUGUGAAAGUCCAGGGCUUCAACCCUGGGAUGCCGGUCGAUACUGCUCUGACUUGAGUUCGGUAGGGGAGUGGGGAAUUCCUGGUGUAGCGGUGAAAUGCGCAGAUAUCAGGAGGAACACCGGUGGCGAAGGCGCCACUCUGGGCCGAAACUGACGCUGAGGAGCGAAAGCGUGGGUAGCAAACAGG